rnacentral:rRNA from 1 species
CCCUUAGAUGUUCUGGGCCGCACGCGCGCUACACUGACGAAAUCAACGAGCUACUUGGCCGAAAGGUCCGGUUAAUCUCCAAAUUUCGUCGUGAUGGGGAUAGAUUAUUGCAAUUAUUAAUCUUCAACGAGGAAUUCCUAGUAAGCGCAAGUCAUCAGCUUGCGUUGAUUACGUCCCUGCCCUUUGUACACACCGCCCGUCGCUCCUACCGAUUGAAUGGUCCGGUGAAGCGUUCGGAUGAGUGGUCUGGAACGGUUCGCCGUUCUUGUCCGCUCAGAAGUUCGUUAAACCUUAUCAUUUAGAGGAAGGAGAAGUCGUANCA